rnacentral:rRNA from 1 species
UACGAAGGGGGCUAGCGUUGCUCGGAAUCACUGGGCGUAAAGCGUGCGUAGGUGGUGAGUUAAGUCUGUCGUGAAAGCCCCGGGCUCAACCUGGGAAUGGCGAUGGAUACUGGCUCGCUAGAGUGCGGUAGAGGAGAGUGGAAUUCCCGGUGUAGCAGUGAAAUGCGUAGAGAUCGGGAGGAACAUCAGUUGCGAAGGCGGCUCUCUGGACCAGCACUGACACUGAGGCACGAAAGCGUGGGGAG